rnacentral:lncRNA from 1 species
GAGCAAGAAGGCCAUCCACCAUGCAGUGUAAUGUCUUGCUAAGAGAAAUUAGUAUUCAGUCUGCUCAGGUUCCAGCAAGGACUUUCUUCAUGAAGAUCUUCAAGUGGAAUCAAGCAGCCUUGCCCAUGAAGUCAUGCCUGUGGCUCCACUGAGAAAUUCGAUUAAGUAUUCCAAUACUGCUGUGAAACGAAGUGAUCUGAUUCCGAUGAAGAAGUUACCUCAGAGAAGUCAAAUAAUUUACCCAGAGUCACAAAAUAAGCAAAUGAUGGAAUAUUCAAAUCCAGGUCUUCUGACUCUACCUCUAUCUGCCUUAGAGGUUUCUGAAGUAUUGAUAAGAUGGAGGCUGGAAGAGCUUGAAACAGACCAUAUAAAGCCAGGUCUGAGCUGGAAAAGCAAAGAGGCCCAAGGAACAGCACAGACCCUGACUGGUGGGGUAUCUGUGUAUUUUAAAUAACAAAUACAACAAAGAUUCAAGGUUCAGCAUGUACCCAGAUGUUUCCAUUAUUGAUAUAUAUAUGCCAGUUUAAAAUAUUUAAAUGGAAAACAGUUUGUGUCCACUUCAUUUUAGAACUAUGCCAGUUACAGGAAUCACCCCAGUAUCAGUUAUGUCUUACUCAUGUCAAAGAACCAGGGUCAGAAGAAAAAAAUCUCCAGUAAAGAUCCUUGCAACUCAGGAACACUCUUUCCUCUGAAUACUGCUAUGAACUAGAGUUAAAAGAAAGCAUUUUUUAAAAGAAAUGAUUUAUUCGUUCCUCAUGAUAAACAUAUCAAAACAUCACAUUGUACCACAUAAAUAUAUGCAAUUAUUUGGUUAACUGAAAAUAAAAUAAAAUUUAAAAAGAAAUAGAACGAACCUGAGUUAAAC